CUGAUAAAAAGGCACGCUGACGCGAAAGCCCAGCACGCAAAAUUACCGGUCUAAGGACUCAAGGUCUACGACAGCGGGAUCGCCAGA
rnacentral:ncRNA from 1 species